GACGAACGCUGGCGGCGCGCUUAACACAUGCAAGUCGAACGGAAAGGCCUGCUUUCCCUUGUGGAUUGCGGGUACUCGAGUGGCGAACGGGUGAGUAACACGUGAGUGAUCUGCCCCCAACUUGGGUAUAAGCCUGGGAAACUGGGUCUAAUUCCCGAUAGGACUGCAGGGUGGUGCCUGUGGUGGAAAACGAUUUUCUAGUGGUUGGGGAUGAGCUCGCGGCCUAUCAGCUUGUUGGUGGGGUAAUGGCCUACCAAGGCGGCGACGGGUAGCCGGCCUGAGAGGGUGGACGGCCACAUUGGGACUGAGAUACGGCCCAGACUCCUACGGGAGGCAGCAGUGGUGAAUAUUGCACAAUGGGCGGAAGCCUGAUGCAGCGACGCCGCGUGGGGGAUGACGGCCUUCGGGUUGUAAACUCCUUUCGACCGCGAGGAAGCCACCUGGUUGGAAGGGUGGUGACGGUAGUGGUAGAAGAAGCACCGGCUAACUACGUG
rnacentral:rRNA from 1 species